GACGAACGCUGGCGGCGUGCUUAACACAUGCAAGUCGAACGGAAAGGCCCUGCUUUUGUGGGGUGCUCGAGUGGCGAACGGGUGAGUAACACGUGAGUAACCUGCCCUUGACUUUGGGAUAACUUCAGGAAACUGGGGCUAAUACCGGAUAGGAGCUCCUGCUGCAUGGUGGGGGUUGGAAAGUUUCGGCGGUUGGGGAUGGACUCGCGGCUUAUCAGCUUGUUGGUGGGGUAGUGGCUUACCAAGGCUUUGACGGGUAGCCGGCCUGAGAGGGUGACCGGGGACAUUGGGACUGAGGUACGGCGCAGACGCCUACGGGAGGCAGCAGUGGGGAAUAUUGCAGAAUGGGCGGAAGCCUGAUGCAGCAACGCCGCGUGCGGGAUGACGGCUUUCGGGUUGUAAACCGCUUUCGACUGUGACGAAGCGUGAGUGACGGUAAUGGGUAAAGAAGCAACGGCUAACUACGUG
rnacentral:rRNA from 1 species